rnacentral:lncRNA from 1 species
CUUCAUUAGAAGAAACUACAUGGCAGCAUCCAUGGAUGCAAGAUCCAGUGACAAAGUGUAAAGAAAAACUAGGGAAUACAUCGCUGCUCUGAUAUCUCAGCAUGGUCGGUAUGCAAUAUUCUUCAGGGAGAAUCUUGAGAAGAUCUCCUUUAGCUUGAACUAUUUCUAUAUCUUCAAUAAUUUUUGGAUUUGAAGUAGGUGUACUAUUUUUUUCGUUGAGUGGAUUUAGAAUGGGAGA